UUUGGAGGGGAGGGUUU
rnacentral:miRNA from 1 species